ACGGUGGACGGAACAUGAGUAUGU
rnacentral:siRNA from 1 species